AGUGCAUCUGGUGGAUGCCUUGGCGAUGAUAGGCGAAGAAGGACGCGACAGUCUGCGAAAAGCCUCGGGGAGCUGACAAUAAGUGAUAAUCCGGGGGUAUCCGAAUGGGGCAACCUUACUGAUUUAAUCAGUAAUCCUAUACUGAAUCCAUAGGUAUAGGAAGCGAACCUAGGGAACUGAACCAUCUAAGUACCUAGAGGAAAAGAAAUCAACCGAGAUUCUGCGAGUAGUGGCGAGCGAAAGUGGAAGAGCCUGCAUAAGAUAGCGAGUAAUUUAGGAGAACGACUUGGGAAAGUCGACCAUAGGGGGUGAAAGUCCCGUAUCUGAAAAGUUACUGGUGGUACUGAUUAUGCGACAAGUAGGGCGAGACACGAGGAAUCUUGUCUGAAGAUGGGGGGACCAUCCUCCAAGGCUAAAUACUCAUCAUCGACCGAUAGUGAACAAGUACCGUGAGGGAAAGGUGAAAAGGACCCCGGGAGGGGAGUUAAAAGAACCUGAAACCGGAUGCAUACAAACAGUGGGAGCUAGGCGACUAGUGACUGCGUACCUUUUGUAUAAUGGGUCAACGACUUACAUUCAGUAGCGAGCUUAACCGAGUAGGGGAGGCGCAGGGAAACCGAGUCUUAAUAGGGCGGAUAGUUUCUGGAUGUAGACCCGAAACCGAGUGAUCUAUCCAUGUCCAGGAUGAAGGUUAGGUAACACUGACUGGAGGUCCGAACCUACUAAUGUUGCAAAAUUAGAGGAUGAGGUGUGGAUAGGGGUGAAAGGCCAAACAAACUCGGAGAUAGCUGGUUCUCCCCGAAAACUAUUUAGGUAGUGCCUUGUAGGUUUACUCACGGGGGUAAAGCACUGUUAUGGCUAGGGGGUCAUUGCGACUUACCAACCCAUGGCAAACUAAGAAUACCGUGAAGUACGACUACAGGAGACAGACAUUGGGUGCUAACGUCCGGUGUCGAGAGGGAAACAACCCAGACCGCCAGCUAAGGUCCUAAAUGAUCAGUUAAGUGGAAAACGAAGUGAGAAGGCAUAGACAGCUAGGAUGUUGGCUUAGAAGCAGCCAUCAUUUAAAGAAAGCGUAAUAGCUCACUAGUUGAGUCUUCUUGCGCGGAAGAUGUAACGGGGCUAAAACUGAUAACCGAAGCUGCGGAUGCACGCCCAUAAGGUGUGUGUGGUAGGGGAGCGUUCUGUAGGCCGAAGAAGGUUGAUUGAGAAGUCAGCUGGAGGUAUCAGAAGAGCGAAUGUUGACAUGAGUAGCGAUAAAACGAGUGAAAAGCUCGUUCGCCGAAAGCCCAAGGAUUCCUACGCGACGUUAAUCGGCGUAGGGUGAGUCGGCCCCUAAGGUGAGGCAGAGAUGCGUAGCUGAUGGGAAACGGGUUAAUAUUCCCGUACUUGAGUGUAAUGCGAUGUGGGGACGGAGAAGGUUAGGAUAGCAAUCGGUUGGAAGAGAUUGUUUAAGCCGGUAGGUAGGUCUUUUAGGCAAAUCCGGAAGACUAAUACUGAGAGGUGAUGACGAGGACUUACGGGUCUGAAGUAUCUGAUACCCAGCUUCCAGGAAAAGCCACUAAGCUUCAGUUACACUUAAACCGUACCGCAAACCGACACAGGUGGGCAGGAAGAGAAUUCUAAGGCGCUUGAGAGAACUCAGGAGAAGGAACUCGGCAAAUUGACACCGUAACUUCGGGAGAAGGUGUGCCUUUGGUAAGUGAGGGGAGAGACGCCCUGAGCUGAAGAAGGCCGCAGAGAAUAGGUGGCUGCGACUGUUUACUAAAAACACAGCACUCUGCUAACACGAAAGUGGACGUAUAGGGUGUGACGCCUGCCCGGUGCUGGAAGGUUAAUUGAAGAUGUGAGAGCAUCGGAUCGAAGCCCCAGUAAACGGCGGCCGUAACUAUAACGGUCCUAAGGUAGCGAAAUUCCUUGUCGGGUAAGUUCCGACCCGCACGAAAGGCGUAACGAUUUGGGCACUGUCUCAACGAGAGACUCGGUGAAAUCAUAGUACCUGUGAAGAUGCAGGUUACCCGCGACAGGACGGAAAGACCCCGUGGAGCUUUACUGUAGCCUGAUAUUGAAAUUCGGCACAGCUUGUACAGGAUAGGUAGGAGCCUUUGAAACGUGAGCGCUAGCUUACGUGGAGGCGUUGGUGGGAUACUACCCUAGCUGUGUUGGCUUUCUAACCCGCACCACUUAUCGUGGUGGGAGACAGUGUCAGGCGGGCAGUUUGACUGGGGCGGUCGCCUCCUAAAAGGUAACGGAGGCGCUCAAAGGUUCCCUCAGAAUGGUUGGAAAUCAUUCAUAGAGUGUAAAGGCAUAAGGGAGCUUGACUGCGAGACCUACAAGUCGAGCAGGGUCGAAAGACGGACUUAGUGAUCCGGUGGUUCCGCAUGGAAGGGCCAUCGCUCAACGGAUAAAAGCUACCCCGGGGAUAACAGGCUUAUCUCCCCCAAGAGUUCACAUCGACGGGGAGGUUUGGCACCUCGAUGUCGGCUCAUCGCAUCCUGGGGCUGUAGUCGGUCCCAAGGGUUGGGCUGUUCGCCCAUUAAAGCGGUACGCGAGCUGGGUUCAGAACGUCGUGAGACAGUUCGGUCCCUAUCCGUCGUGGGCGUAGGAAAUUUGAGAGGAGCUGUCCUUAGUACGAGAGGACCGGGAUGGACAUACCUCUGGUGUACCAGUUGUCGUGCCAACGGCAUAGCUGGGUAGCUAUGUAUGGACGGGAUAAGUGCUGAAAGCAUCUAAGCAUGAAGCCCCCCUCAAGAUGAGAUUUCCCAACUUCGGUUAUAAGAUCCCUCGAAGAUGACGAGGUUAAUAGGUUUGAGGUGGAAGCGUGGUGACACGUGGAGCUGACGAAUACUAAUCGAUCGAAGACUUAAUC
rnacentral:rRNA from 1 species